UACGUAGGGGGCAAGCGUUGUUCGGAAUUACUGGGCGUAAAGGGCGCGUAGGCGGCAUGGCAAGUCAGGAGUGAAAGGCCUGGGCUCAACCGAGGAACUGCUUUUGAUACUGCCAAGCUAGAGUGCGGAAGGGGCAACUGGAAUUCCCAGUGUAGCGGUGAAAUGCGUAGAUAUUGGGAAGAACACCUGAGGCGAAGGCGGGUUGCUGGGCCGACACUGACACUGAGGCGCGAAAGCCAGGGGAGCAAACGGG
rnacentral:rRNA from 1 species